UCGUAGUUUGAUACCAAUAGGCCUUCCCGCCACGCACCUCAGCACGCCGGCCACGGCUCUCACCCCCCCACCCCCCCCAGCCGGCCAGCGGAUUGUAAUGUCACCUCGCGCCGCGAUACACCCUCCGCAGACCACCCCGAAACCAAGCCGGACGUGCCAGCCGUCAAGAAGCCAUGUUGCUACCAGUCGCUCAGCGUCACCCGACCUUCGCAACAUU
rnacentral:rRNA from 1 species